CUACUCAUGCAAGUCGAGCGGUAGAGAGGUGCUUGCACCUCUUGAGAGCGGCGGACGGGUGAGUAAUGCCUAGGAAUCUGCCUGGUAGUGGGGGAUAACGUUCGGAAACGGACGCUAAUACCGCAUACGUCCUACGGGAGAAAGCAGGGGACCUUCGGGCCUUGCGCUAUCAGAUGAGCCUAGGUCGGAUUAGCUAGUUGGUGGGGUAAAGGCUCACCAAGGCGACGAUCCGUAACUGGUCUGAGAGGAUGAUCAGUCACACUGGAACUGAGACACGGUCCAGACUCCUACGGGAGGCAGCAGUGGGGAAUAUUGGACAAUGGGCGAAAGCCUGAUCCAGCCAUGCCGCGUGUGUGAAGAAGGUCUUCGGAUUGUAAAGCACUUUAAGUUGGGAGGAAGGGCAGUAAGCGAAUACCUUAGUGUUUUGACGUUACCGACAGAAUAAGCACCGGCUAACUCUGUGCCAGCAGCCGCGGUAAUACAGAGGGUGCAAGCGUUAAUCGGAAUUACUGGGCGUAAAGCGCGCGUAGGUGGUUUGUUAAGUUGGAUGUGAAAUCCCCGGGCUCAACCUGGGAACUGCAUCCAAAACUGGCAAGCUAGAGUAUGGUAGAGGGUGGUGGAAUUUCCUGUGUAGCGGUGAAAUGCGUAGAUAUAGGAAGG
rnacentral:rRNA from 1 species